AACAAAUCAAUCCCUUCUGCUCGACGCUGGUUCUUCUUUCCGUGACUUCACCAGCGAUGAACGGGCUUCAGAAUCUUCCAACAUCCUCCGCUUCGCCUUCACCAACCCUCUUCGAGAAGGCCUCCGAUCUUGAGUUUGGGGGUGACACGAGCUCGUCAUCUUCGUCGGAAUAUCACCAUGAAUGUGAGUAGGAGCUCCCUUGGUUCUCGUUUCUAUCUGGCUUCUACAUUUGAUCCAAGCGAGGUACUUAGAAUGUGUAGUUUCAUAUCUGUCAUCUUGAUCUAAACAUUCAUUCGGUCAAGAUUCGAUUUAGGUUUGUCCUGAGGUUGCCGAUGCUAAAAAUCUCCCAUCAGUUUCUAGCCAAGUUUGUUUUCGAUAUGGGCUAUGGUAUUUUUGGCUUCGUUAUUUUCUAUUGGU